rnacentral:rRNA from 1 species
GAUGAACGCUAGCGGCAGGCUUAACACAUGCAAGUCGAGGGGUAGAGGAAGCUUGCUUCCUUGAGACCGGCGCACGGGUGCGUAACGCGUAUACAAUCUACCUUUUACAGAGGGAUAGCCCCAGAGAAAUUUGGAUUAAUACCUCAUAGUAUUUUCGGAUCGCAUGAUUUGAUUAUUAAAGUUCCAACGGUAAAGAUGGGUAUGCGUCCCAUUAGCUAGAUGGUAAGGUAACGGCUUACCAUGGCAAUGAUGGUAGGGGUCCUGAGAGGGAGAUCCCCCACACUGGUACUGAGACACGGACCAGACUCCUACGGAGGCAGCAGUGAGGAAUAUU